UCGCUUAUGUUACGCACUUCACUCCGCUAACUGACAUGACAUUCCUGUCAUUCAAACGGUGCAACGGUUUAUAAGUGUCUUUAUUUUGUGGAUUUGUGAAUUAAAUAAUAUAAAUAAAUAUGGAUAAAACUACAACUAUCAGAUAAAAAAGCUGCCGUUUUCUUCUUCCGAAAGAGAGCUGCUGAUUGUAGCUUAAUAAGAGAAAGGCCUAUUAUUGAAGACAAGCAUAUUAUUAUCCUCUCUAAAAUAUCGAGUUGACGAAGCAGACCUGGGAAACUCUAACAGUGGCUUACAAUUCUCAACCAUAUUUUAUGUUUCACAAAGGCUCACACAUCAACUGAAAAGCUGCUGGAAUAAUUUAAAGACCCAAAGAAUGAAAGAACUUUCUCAGGAAUCAAUCAAACGUUCUCAACACCCACUAGUAGGUAUCAAGAAAUUAAGAUUAGUAGUAGCAAGAAUGAAGAUUAAGACAGAAACAAGAAUCAAACGCACCACAUUGAAUAAUAUACAACAAGACCAGGCUUUGCACGAGUUGGGGCUACAAAGAGAAAAAAUAUUGAUAGAAAGAGAAAACAAUCUGUUAGAACAUGAAAAAAAGCUUUAUGAUUUACAAAUACAUAAAAUUAAAUUAGACAUUGAAGAUUGAUGAAAUAAAACUUUAUUAAAAAUUUUAUGUUUUAUUUGCCACUAGCAACUGAUACAUUAUGUAGGUGGCACUGGAAGGCCUCCUCGCAGUUAAUUUCCUCAGGUCUUCUUUUAUCAGUGGUAAAAGUAUGAAAAGUACCCCAUCAUUGGAAAACCUAAACUAAAUUCGUCUGAAUUGUAAUAAUCAAAGGGAUUUUGGGAAUCCCGUAUCACUUUUCUGGUACUUAUUCUACUUUGCUCAUUGAUAUAAUUAUCAAAUUCUUCUUCACUACUGUAAUCCAUUGUAAGAUAAUAUUAAUCAAAUACAACCAUAAAUAAAGCAAACAAACCUCAAAAACGAGAAUAACCUAAAAAUUUUGACGUAAAUAGACACUAUGCGUUGCGUAAUACAGCUCCCUGGCUACCUUAGCUUUGCGUUCAUUCUAAGGGACGCAUAGUGCUUGUCACCACUGAAGUAUCGUCUAUGAAUAGGUUUUUGGGACCCUGUGCAUCCACGCGCACUAUGAGGCCUCAAAGUAAUGUUUGUGAAUACGGGUGUUAGA